GGGCGGCGGCCCCGGGAUGGCGGCGGCUGAGGGGCAGCUCCGAGCGGGCGGGCAGGAUGUUCCCCGCAGGCUCUGAGGGCAGGCGGGCAGGGGCCACACUGCCUCAGGGCCCUGCAAAACCUCCCAGCGCAGCAGCAGUCGGCUGAGAAUUGCAAGGGAAGAGGGAAAAAAGGGAUGCGUUGCUCCAUGGAAUGUGUUGCUCCAAGGGGUGUGUUCCUCCUCUGGCUGCAGCUGGACAACAGCAGUUCCCUCCCUCCCUCACUCAUAUGGAAGCAUGAGGACGAUGUUGAACGACCGCCAAAUCCACACAGAGAAUGUACCCCAGCACCUGAGCUGCAGCACAGCAGCAAAGGAGUUGUGCUGUCGUGUGCUGCCCUACAGUGGUGAAGCAGCCCUUCCUGAAACGCUGACAUUCAGGAGAGCCCGGGGUAAUGUGCUUUUUGCUCUGCCAGCAGAAAGGAAAAAAGACUUUUUUGGAAUAAACGACAUGGAUUGAAGCAGAGCCACAAGGGACAGGUUUUCCACAUUUCCCACUGCAGGCAGGGGACAGUGAGGGGCAUCCCAGUGCCUGUGGAACCACUGGUCGUUUUUUAUGAGGGAUAAACUGGGGAUGAAGUGACAAGCUGAGGCUAGGAGCCAAUGGAAAUAUCCUUGAGAAAAAACUUUUGGCUCAUCUCCAUUUGGUUAGCAGGCAAUUUCCAUCCCAUAGAUGUGAGAAAUAACCGUGAACUCAGAACAGUGUGAUUAACCAGUCAGAGCUUCCUAAGAAAAUUCCAGAUUUGAAUUUAAUCCAUCCCCAACCAAGAAAGAAAAAAAUACUUCAUGAGAGUGUCAUAAGAAACAUCUCUACACCUCCUGUGCUUCAUCAGCUCUUUUUUUUGGUUUUUUUUUUGGCUUGCAGUGAAGCUAUAAGAUGUGUAAUUAGGUGCAGGACAAGUUCUCUGGAGGUGAUUUCAGAGUAACCAUUAUAGUACCUUAACAGAAGGUUCAGAAAACUUCAAAUUGGAGAAAAAGUGAGUCUCCAGAACUUAACAUUCCAAUGAAACUGAAUGGGAAAACCGUAAGUCUGAGACUUUCUAAGCCUUAGGAGAAGAUUCUGGUUCUUUACAUAAAGUUCAACUAAAUACACUUUGCAUCACAAUUUUUAUACAGGUAGGAGAAUCUUCCUCCCACAACCAAAAUUUGCUGUGCAUCUCCUGGGCAGGACAUUGGGAUCUGCUGCCUGGAGGACUUCAUUGUGCCAGAGCUUAUGGCCUGAAACACUCUUAGCCUCAGUAAAACAUUCUCAGAGCAGGCAAAAGUUUUGUCUGGUGACAACAACUGGACUUGUGGGACUUCAGUGGUAAUUACGCUACAAAACUUCCUGCUUAAUUGAGUAGAAAAUGGGAACAGUCCUCAGCAUCAACUGCCAUUAAGACACAUAGUGGUAUUAGACAUUUAUGAUACAAUUUCAGUGCCUGAAUCUUAAAACUAGAGGUUUUCCAUCUUUAUAUAUCUUUAUUUUGAUUGCAGUAACAGAAAAAGAUUAUUUUUUUUUAAUAUAUAAAGAAUGAACAACACUCAAAGCAUUUACUUUCAGCUUCCCUUGAGAAGAAAACUAGGGAUCUGUAGCAGCCAGACAUUUGCUGAAUAGCCCUUUGCAGAAUUGCAAUAUUCAACCUUGCCUCACUUCAGGUCAAUAAACAAGAGGUAAAAUCAGAUUAAACUGAACAGUUUCAAGACAUCACUUAAAAUGUGAUGAACUAUUACAUGUACCAGAAUUUGAUUUAGCUAACUAAACCUUGACAAUUUUGAAUGGAAACAAUAUUGGUUGUCUCUUGGAUUUAACUGCAUUCCCCCAUAUGGAUUUGUGUUUUACAAAGCUUCAGUGAAAUGUUCAUGACUAAAAGCACUUAGAUUUACCUGAAUAUCCCUGAAAGGUUUUAUUAUGCAGCAAAUUAAUGCAACCAAUUUUCUCCCUAAAUGAAUAUUUGACUACAUUUUUUGUGUAAAAUAUUCUUGAGUGACAACAAUAUCUAUCUAAUGAGAUAUUGAUGAGGCAGAGAGCAAAUUUUGAGAUAGAUUUUGAGACAGAGAGAAAAUUUGGAGUCCAAUAAAUAUCCAGUGAAGGUCAGCCUUGGAGGCUCUGCUGCAUGACUGGAGGAAGCAGUAAAGGCAUUCUGGAAAGUGAAAGUGUGUGAAGAAGAGCCAGAUGUACAGGAACAUGGAAAAUUACAUUGUUUUUUCUUUUUGUACCUUUUUUGUUGUUGUUGUUAUUUAACAGGAAAAUAAAGUAUCAAAUGCUCAAGUAUCAAUUCCAGCUAUCCAAAUUUGCUUGAUUUUUGACCAAAUUAUUUAACAACUGUACUUCAGGAUUUGCUGCCUAAAGGGAUGAGUGUAAUACAGCUGAUGAAACCAUCCAACUUCAUGUGGUUCCUUCCUAAAAUAUAGAAGAAAAAUCCCAAACAGAAGAGCCAAAUUCCAACAAAACUGUUUGCCUUUUAUUCAUAUGUUUUUUAAAAAUAUUCACCCUGGCAUUCUCUGUCAUUCCCUCUGCUCCUUGCCCUCUACAAAUUCUUUUAGCAUAAAUUUGUAUUUUUGUAAUCGUUAGCCCUUUACAAAGCAGCCAAUACAUUCAACUAGAGAUAAGGUAAUAACUUUCCAAUGGAGUAGGAAAUUACAGCAGCAUCGUUAGGCUAAUGAGUUUUGGCUAAAGAGUUCCUCCUUCUUAAGCAGAGCCUCAAGAUGAAGCAUUUCUGUUUGUACCUCGAGUACUGGUAACAGUUAUUCCAGACAUUGAACACACGACACUUCACCAGGUAACCAAGAAUAUUCUGAGACAAAACAAGGUGGUUUUGAGGUUGCUGAUGUGAUGUCAUUCUAGUGUCCUUCGAAUGUCAACUUAAAAGUUGGAACUGUAUUUUAUAUACUGAGGAUUGCUUAAAACACUGAGCCUCCCAACGCCCCAAGUGCUUCUCAAGGUGAGCCCGUGGUGGAAAAAUUUUCUUGCUUGAAAGCAAGUUCCUGUUGAUUUUCAUGCUGAUCAUUAAACUCACAUUUCACUAAACAUCUCCCAGCUCUAAUGGGUGCACAAAGUGCCUUUUUUUUUUUUGCAGUUCCUUAACUGGAUAUCCCUGGACUUUUGGGAUAGAUUCAUUCUCUGACCUUGAAAAUUUGUAUGAGGAUCCCAGAUUGGGUCACUCGCCUGGGGAAUAAAGAAUUUCCCCCCUAAAUUUCUUUCAGUGUCCAAGGUGAUGGAUUUUGAAGUUGUCUCAUGCCCUCUUUCAUAAUUGCUCUAUUCUCUUAUCAACCACACUGUUACAAGAGUAAGGGGGGUGAGGACAGGAGAAAGCAGCUGAACCCAGAGGCAGCAGGGUUUGGGUCAUGCUGCAGGACAGAGCAAUUUGCUGUUAAAUUUCCCAGUUUUAAAUCACAAACAGGUUCACAAAAGCUGUUGCUCAUGGCUGCUCUGGGCUUCCAGACUGCCUUACACAGAUGAACCUCUGUAGCCCAGCAGAGCUUUGCCCUGUGAGAAACAGAACUCAGGGUUAGCACCAAAACGGUCACAAUCCAUUACUUCAUUUUGGAUGUUGUGCCUUCAAACAGUACGAGAAUAGAGCUUAAAACUACUGAGAUAUUCAUCACCCCUCACACCCCCUCAGGACACAUCUCCACGGCUCUACCUCAGCACCAGUCUGAAACACUUUCCAUUAAUACUUUGAGCUCUUCCACAAUAUUUAGUUCUAUCACCCAACCCGUAAUUUUUGUGGAAGCUCUUCUGAUCCUGCCAACAGCAAACUGAAAAUGUAGCAAAUAAAGAACUGGAAUGUGCCCCCCUGAUCUGGCAAUUCCUAACCCUGAUACAGCUGUCCCUUUGCUGGCACUCUGGCAUUUCAGUUGCAAGAAUGAUACAGUUCAAAGUCACAUCAAAUACCAGAAAACUACAGAUAGAAACACUGUACUUCACUUAUUAAUAAUUCACAUAAAAUUCACAGCCUAAAACAAUAGUUUGCAUGACAGAACAACAGAACUGAGGCUUCCCAACAUUACCACGUCCUAGGCAUGUCUUUCUCCAGACUUGAGUAGUAGUAUAUUAAAAAAAUAAAUUAGCCAACUCAUUCAAUAAAAUGACUGGGUAAAUUAAGGUGAAGAGAUAAAUUCACAUUUUAAUUUUGAAUUUACUUACAUUUGUCUGCUGGUACCCCAGCAUUAGAAAGCAUGUUACACAAAAAUCCCUAAUGUCAGCAUCUUCUCCCUCACAAAUGUAUCCUUCUCCUACCUUGUUUAAAUGUUUAAAGGUUUUAUUUUGUUCUGUCAUUCAACAAUUUUGAGUCAGACUUCCUAAGUGGGGAAAAAAAAAAAAAAUAGGAAAAUCUGUAAGUUUGUUUCGGUGGAUUUUUAAUUAUCUAUUACAUAUUUAAUAGUUGUCCAGUAGUUCAAUAGUUAAUGGUUAGUUAUCCAUGUUACAGAGGUAUCAAUGCUGUUGUUACCCUGGGGAAUUCUGUUUUCCACAGAAUCAGUUUCUAGGACACAGAAGUCAGAAAAAAACCUCCACCUUAUUAUUUUUACGAUUAAUGCAGUGAGAGAUUGUUUGUCUCCCCACCUCCUCCCAUGUUGUUUUUCCAGGUCAAUUUAUGCUUUAUACUGCACCCAUUUUGCUCAGCUCAGUACACUGAAAAUAACCAGGGUAAAAAGCAGUUUGAGCUUUUAAUGAGAAUCAGGGGUUGAAACAAUUAAUUAUGAAGCCAGCACUUAUGGCUCAAGUUUUAGCAGUCUGUGCACUACAGUAAAACUCUGAAGCAGUUUUACCUACCCUGACACACACCCACUCAUGGGACUGAAGCCAACUGGGUAUGACCAGGAUUAAAAUAGGCUCACUCUUGGAAUUUGUCUUGUCAGUCACCAGAGGGAUUUUUCAGUGUCAGGCUUUCAUCAGCAGAGCUUCAGAAAUCCCCUUUGUAGCUUAUUUACAAAGACGCUUCAAAGUCUGUCACAGAACAGGAAGAUUUUUUUCCCAACAGAUACAUUUUCAGAGAUACCAAGCUGAGAAAGAAGGGCACAGUUUGGUUUUGGACUGCAAACAGAUGUUUGCUUAUACACAUUUUUACUGUUACACAAACUCAACAUUUAUUUUAGAAAUGAGGACCUGCUCCUGUGUGUGAUUUCCACUGAUAGCAAUCUAUGGCCCUGAUCCUGCUUAUUAAAGUUAAUAGGAAUUUUAUCAUCUACUUCCAUGGAAGAGGUCUUGGGAGUGCCAGCAUUUUAAGGAACACACACAGCACAUUAGGUACAGCUGGGGAAAGAAGAGAACUUACUCUCUUCCACAGCGAGUCACAUAAUUUUAUAACUUAGAACAACUUUAUCACUCUUAAGACAACAGUAUAGCACCAAUCACCAAGAGCAUUGUCACUAAGGCACUGGACUGGUACUCAGCUGUCACGGGCUCUGCCUCCAGGUCUGGGGUCAAUCUCCUGUCUUUAUGUCUUUUGUUUUUACUGGCACAUAAUUUUUGACAUUGGAAAAUAAGAUAAAUAAUACAAAACAUCCUCCAUCAUUUACAGGAACAACACACCACGACAAAUUACAAGGUGCUCAAGUUCUGAAGCCACGAACAUUAAUAUUUCUGUGCAUAGAUUUACUGGCAGAAGGAAAUUACCCUGCAGGUAUCAAUUCCAUGCAGCACAGUGGAGCAGUGUUAGCUUCCCUUCCUCUGGAGUGAGGACAUACCCUCAGUUAAAUCCUGCCCUGAUGCCACGAAUCAAAACAGUUUUUAGAUAAAUGAAGAAAAGCCCUCAGGAUUCCUGCCUUUGACAGCUGAUCCAGGAUGCCUUCCUAGGCUUUUGCAUCAAAGUCUGCUCUUAUCAACUUGUAGAGCUCCAGUUUCAACCUCUGAGAGUAGUUUUUGAUGCUUUCAGAGGCAGCUGAAUCCUUUUUUAGUUUCUAGUGGAUUUAUCUCUCCACAUUAUUAAAAAAGAAAAAAAUCUUUAUAGGAGUUAUCCCUACUCUGCUGCACCACACUGAAUGUGUGCUCUGAUGCACAAAUUACUAAAAGUUCUUGGGUUGAAAUAAGUUACUGCAAAUGCACAGUAGCUGAUUUUGAAACCACAACAUCUCUACAAUUUAUUAUUAUUUUUACAAAAUACCCAAAAUGAUCAGACCAUAUUGUAGGUUACUGGCUUGCCGAAGGUUGUUUUAAAAUCAAAACCAUUUCUGAGUUACAGAAGUGCCAAAAACAAUCUUGAACCAGGUUUGUUUGUUGUUUUUUUGUUGUUUUCUUUUUAAACCAACCCCCAUCCAACAAAACAGUUGUAUAACUUAAAACAGAAACAAGAGUUUGUGUUGGAAACUGUUGAAAAACCAACCCACCAAAUCACACUUGAGCAGAAGCCUUGUAUGGCAAAGAUUCAGCUUAGGGCAGUUUAGUGCCAAGGUAAGACCCUCCAUAGGUUUACAAUGGAAAUACUGACACAACCUCAACUACAGUGAUGCAAAUGUGCCCUAAAAACACUGUAUUUGCUUUUAUUAAUAAAAGUGGUAGUGUUUACAUUUGCAGGUAUCUUACACUUCAGCAUCACGAUGAAUACUGAGUAGAACGAGUGAAGUUUUGGCUGUAAGGUCAGAAGUUUCCAAACAGAUGAAUGAGACAGAAGUGACAGUCCUCAAUCAUGAAAACAAGAAGUUCAAAUAAAUAAAUAAAACAAAACUAAGAAAUAUGGGUAAGCAUUAGGUUGGAAUGGUUCAAUUAACUGCAAAUUAUGGCCACUAAAUUAGAGACAGAAGAAAACACAGUUACUUAUUAAAUAGCAAGCAUUAAAGCUUUAUGGUUUUGUAUUUAAAAAAAAAAAAAAAA